rnacentral:rRNA from 1 species
AUUGAACGCCGGCGGCAGGCUUAACACAUGCAAGUCGAGCGGGGUGAUGGUGCUUGCACUAUCACUUAGCGGCGGACGGGUGAGUAAUGCUUAGGAAUCUGCCUAUUAGUGGGGGACAACAUCUCGAAAGGGAUGCUAAUACCGCAUACGUCCUACGGGAGAAAGCAGGGGAUCACUUGUGACCUUGCGCUAAUAGAUGAGCCUAAGACGGAUUAGCUAGUUGGUGGGGUAAAGGCCUACCAAGGCGACGAUCUGUAGCGGGUCUGAGAGGAUGAUCCGCCACACUGGGACUGAGACACGGCCCAGGCUCCUACGGGAGGCAGCAGUGGGGAAUAUUGGACAAUGGGGGGAACCCUGAUCCAGCCAUGCCGCGUGUGUGAAGAAGGCCUUAUGGUUGUAAAGCACUUUAAGCGAGGAGGAGGCUCUUUUGGUUAAUACCCAAGAUGAGUGGACGUUACUCGCAGAAUAAGCACCGGCUAACUCUGUGCCAGCCGCCGCCGUAA